GAAAAAUAAAAAUAUUAUUUAUUUUAGAACAAAUUUUUUAUUUUUGUAAAAUGACAUUCAUUAUGAGAUGAAUGAAGUAUUACAUAUUUAUUGACACAUUUCUGAAACAUAUCCCACAAAUCAAACAUAUGUCUCAAGCUUUUUUUAUUUUUUAUUUUGACACACUUUGGACACUUCUCAUACACAUCUAGACUAAUACUAGACAUCUUUUUAAAAUGGCUUUUAAAAAGUAAUAUAUUAACAUUUGAAAAAUUCUUGCAUAUGCGCAUCUUUUCAAAUAAUACACUCAACUAUGACAACCAUUUCUAACUUCAAGAUAGGUAGAACAUGGUCCAUGUGUACUAGCAGGAACAGGACUGAGCAACACAUGUCUGUCUCUAUCUUAUUUUUUGGGUCAAGUCGUCUCUUUGUCUAAGCAUGCAUAUGACUAUGAAGUUCACCUCUUAAUUGUGGAUUGUUUUGGAGACUUUUCAAAUCUGAAUUUUCAAAUGUAUACAGUUGGAGACUUUUCUUUUGUCGGUACACUUUAAAUUAAUACGUGUACAUGUACAGUAGAAAUCCUCAAAUAAUUAAUAUUGCAACAAUGUUGUUUUUGCUUAA